rnacentral:lncRNA from 1 species
ACUUUGUGACAAGUCCUCUAUAACUGGCACACUUCCUGAUACGAAGGGCUCAGAAACAGAUUGCCGUUCACCUUCGAGAGGUGAAGAGUCCUUUGAAGGAUCUGGGAAUGUUCCUCCCAGGGGGGUAGACAAGGAUGUAGAACGUGGCAAUUCAUCCAAGUUUCCCCCAGAAGCCUGUGAAGGCAAUUGACCCUGAAAAGGAUCAGAAACAACAGUGUCUAUCCCUGACAUGGACGACAAAGUGUUCGCAACCGUCAAUUCUUCAACUGUGUGUGCAACCUCACUGUGCAUUGGAAUAGUAUUUGGCUGAGGUGGUGAAGAAAUAGACAUAUCUGCAGUUGUCUCAGGUUCUAUUCUCCUUUCCUGACUAGGAGACAGAGCUGCAGUUUCAGAAACAGACUCCUUGUGUGGUGCACUUAAGGCACUUUCUCCCUCUCUCUCAGAAAUAAGACUUGGUUGGCUGAGGGGUAGAGUAGUUUCUGCUUCAAUUGUUUGUGAAGUGGUGCCUUGGUUAUGAACUUGGGGGAUUUCAAAUUCAUUGGCACUUGUGAGAGGUGGUGAAAGCUGAUUGGAAUCCAAAA